GACGAACGCUGGCGGCGUGCUUAACACAUGCAAGUCGAACGAUGAAGCGGGUGCUUGCACUCGUGGAUUAGUGGCGAACGGGCGAGUAACACGUGAGUAACCUGUCCUUUUCUUUGGGAUAACGGCUGGAAACGGCUGCUAAUACUGGAUAUUCAGGCUGCAUCGCAUGGUGUGGUUUGGAAAGGUUUUUUCUGGGAUUGGGUGGGCUCGCGGCCUAUCAGCUUGUUGGUGGGGUGAUGGCUUACCAAGGCUUUGACGGGUAGCCGGCCUGAGAGGGUGGUCGGUCGCACUGGGACUGAGAUACGGCCCAGACUCGUACGGGAGGCAGCAGUGGGGAAUAUUGCACAAUGGACGAAAGUUUGAUGCAGCGACGCCGCGUGGAGGGUGUAGGCCUUCGGGUUGUGAACUCCUUUUUCUCGCGAAAAAGGCACAGUUUUGGCUGUGUUGAUGGUAGUGGGGGAAGAAGCGCCGGCUAACUACGUG
rnacentral:rRNA from 1 species